UACGUAGGCAGCGAGCGUUGUUCGGAAUUACUGGGCGUAAAGAGUGUGUAGGCGGUGUUCCCAGUCUGUUGUGAAAUCUCCCGGCUUAACUGGGAGGGUGCAGCGGAAACUAGAAUGCUAGAGGGUGGGAGAGGUAAGCGGAAUUCCUGGUGUAGCGGUGAAAUGCGUAGAUAUCAGGAGGAACACCUGUGGCGAAGGCGGCAUCCUGGACCAACACUGACGCUGAGGAGCGAAAGCCAGGGGAGCAAACGGG
rnacentral:rRNA from 1 species